CUGGUUGAUCCUGCCAGUAGUCAUAUGCUUGUCUCAAAGAUUAAGCCAUGCAUGUCUAAGUAUAAGCUUUUAUACGGCGAAACUGCGAAUGGCUCAUUAAAACAGUUAUAGUUUAUUUGGUGAUCGCUCACUACAUGGAUAACCGUGGUAAUUCUAGAGCUAAUACAUGCGAAAAGUCGGCGCAAGUCGAUGUAUUUAUUAGAUACAGAAUCAAUACGUGUUCUGCACGUUCUAUUGAUGAAUCAUAAUAACUGUUCGAAUCGCACGGGCAACCGGCGAUAGUUCAUUCAAAUUUCUGCCCUAUCAGCUUUCGACGGUAGUGUAGUGGACUACCGUGGCGUUAACGGGUAACGGAGAAUUAGGGUUCGAUUCCGGAGAGGGAGCCUGAGAAACGGCUACCACAUCCAAGGAAGGCAGCAGGCGCGCAAAUUACCCAAUCCUAAUACAGGGAGGUAGUGACAAUAAAUAACAAUGGUGACGGCUCACGCUGUGGCCAAUUGGAAUGAGAACAAUUUAAACCCCUUAACGAUGAUCAACUGGAGGGCAAGUCUGGU
rnacentral:rRNA from 1 species